UCUUUAGACAUCGCAUCAAUUGAAUGAACUAGGCAUCUUUAUUACCCCCAUUUAUGGAUGAGGAAACUGAGGCUCAGAAAGCUGUUUAACUUCCACAAAGCCACACAGCAAGUGUGUGGUUGAGCCGAGUUUGGAAUCCAUGUCUCUCUGAUAUCAAAGCUCCAGGCAUUUAAGUCAAGCAUCAGCUUCCAUGCAGCAGCUCUCCUCCCAGCUUUAUUCCAUCAGCUCAGCAGUUCUGAUGAUGACGCCUCUUUGACUCCACCUGUGGCGCAGCCUGCCUCCAGCCCUCUCCACUUAGCACUCCGUUCAUAUAGGACUCCUGUUGUCCUAAAGAUUUGGUCAGUCCUUCCAGCUCCCAUUAAUCUGGAUUCCUCCAGAGGGCACAGAUUCCUGCUGGCCAUAUUUCGGAUGUAAUUGGCUCCCCACUAAUCAGCUCUGUAAUCUGAGGCAAAGCCUCUCCAUCCUCCCAUUCUAGGACUCACAGUAACCUGUAUACUUCAUUCAAGCUUUGCUGAACUACAAGAAGAGCCAAUUACCUUCUGGCAGCCAUCUUGGAUGAUGAAGUAGCAACCUUGCAGGACGCAAGCCAUGGUCCAGGAUGGCGAGGCAUAAAGAAGGAAGAUGCCUGCAUUCGUGGUGGCAGUGAGUUGCUGUACCAGCUUUGGAUUGCCUACCUUUGGAUCUUUUUUUAUAUCAAAAAUAUACCCCUCAUCUAUUUAAGCCACUCUGAUCAGGUCUCUGAUUACCAACAGUCAAAGGCAAUUUAAAGCUAAAGGCUUUUAAUCAGUCUUUGAGCUUGGUUAGUUCUAUUCACUAGCAUAAGUCAUAAAUUUCUCUUUGGUUGCAGGCAUUUGGGAGAGUCUGACAUCCAUUUCCUGAAAUACUGUGAAAUUUUCAUUAAUCAUCAAGUAGUUUAUUUUCCAGUUAGAUUUUUCAAAUACAGUUGUUCUGUGGCAACUCUGGAGCAGGUGCUUGAUGACGCAUGGAAAGGUUUUGUCCAAGUAAUACACAAGAGUGAACAGAUGUGGACGUUAACAGUUAAAAUGGAAGGAACAUCUGUAAAUGUAUUUUUUCUAGUUUUCCAAAUGUAAUUCAAUCCCCCCCCCCAAAAAGACUCUUAGUGGCCUCCAAACUUAUGUGAAGGAACUGGUAAAAGAUGAGCCAGACCAACAUCAGUAGCUGAACACAUCGGUUACCUAAACAGAAGAGGGAAGGCAAAGUGGCCCUAAGGAGUGAGGCAUAGGUGAUGUCUUUUCAGGGACACCAGGAAGAAUUUGGCUUCCUCUCAGACAUCUCAGGCUAGUGCCUAGGCUUCCUACCAAGAAUUUUUGUCAAUUUACUUAGAUCCUUGUUGGGAAGACACUAGAAGGAAAAAGGUCAAAUUGAUGAGGAUACACAGGGAGGAUAAGUUCAUUGCUAGAACCCACUCCAUGGGCUUGAGGAAUUUGGAAAGGACUGUAUUUCUAGUCAAAAAGCGGCUGCUCUGAAAUUCAUGGUUUCUAGCCUUACAUGUCCCUCUUGACAUCAUCAAAAUAUCAUUAACCAAAUCUCUUUCUUUUGUAGAUGCUCCCCACUCCCACCUCUCUGUUGCUAGGAAUGUUUACAGAAUCAAGUUCAUUAGUUUAAUUUAUAUUUAAAGCAUCUUUACCACUUACUCUAGUGGGAUGUCUUAUGCCUAAGAGGUUGUUCUCUUGUCUUUUGGGACGUUGUUUGAGAAAAUAAGAGGCUUUAUCUCCAUAGUCCUUCUAUCUAUCAAGAUUUCUUUGAGGAGGGUCCAGUUGUAUAUUACAGUAUAGCAUUUUUACAGGUUGGUCACAGAAUAGCACAGACCCAUUCUUCUGCAAAUUUUACCCUAUUUUUCCUAUUGUUAAGUUAUGUCAAUAUUCUUGUAUAAAGGCAGCAUAAAACACCAUUUAGAGCUUGUAAAAUUCUAUUGAAUGUCUUUGAUUAUUGUUUAGAACAAAUAUCAUUGGGAGAGUCACGGACUUUAUCAGUGAUACAAAUUUUAGUGUAAUACCUGAAACAGGGGCUUGAUAGAAAACUUAGAAGAAAAAGUGUGAGCACACUUGGCGCCUAGAAAUAUGAGGCCAAAUGUUACCAUGCAGGGGAGGAAGGGUUGGGAGGAGAGAAGGAGGUGAGUGGGAUCACAGAGGCUGACAGAGGUGUGAUAA
ensembl:lncRNA